UGCCUUACACAUGCAAGUCGAACGGUAACAGGUUAAGCUGACGAGUGGCGAACGGGUGAGUAAUAUAUCGGAACGUGCCCAGUCGUGGGGGAUAACGUAGCGAAAGCUACGCUAAUACCGCAUACGAUCUACGGAUGAAAGCGGGGGAUCGCAAGACCUCGCGCGAUUGGAGCGGCCGAUAUCAGAUUAGGUAGUUGGUGGGGUAAAGGCCUACCAAGCCUGCGAUCUGUAGCUGGUCUGAGAGGACGACCAGCCACACUGGAACUGAGACACGGUCCAGACACCUACGGGAGGCAGCAGUGGGGAAUUUUGGACAAUGGACGCAAGUCUGAUCCAGCCAUGCCGCGUGCAGGACGAAGGCCUUCGGGUUGUAAACUGC
rnacentral:rRNA from 1 species